UGCGGUUCGGUUCGAUUUGGUGUACUUCGUGGUGAAUAUAAAUAUAUCGUUUGUUGUACGUUGUUCGCUACAUGGAUGUACAUAUAAUGCAGUUUUCGCUGCGCCUCUAGUGUUUGGCCCACAUUGCGAAUGCGUCCUCAUUACGUGCAUUUUACUGGCAAUAAAAAGGAUUUCAACAUAUACAAGUAUUUAAAAACCUGUUUUUUUUCGUGGCUUUUGAACUGCAAAGUGAAGUGAUGAGUGAUAGGCAGCAAGUUGAAAAUUCGCAAGUACAUAGCCGCUGUACCGAGCGUCAGUGAUAGCGCGAGUGCGAGUACAUAGUUAGAAAAGUAAAAUACGAAAAAAAACGUUGUAAAAAAAGCAAUUAGCUUUGGCUGCUGUUGGUAGGCUAGCAGCGCAUGAGCAUUCUCAGCUACGCGUAACACCUUGCUAGUACAUACAUACAUACAUACAUAUUUCCAGCAGUGGUAAUUGUUCGGUGUUAAAUUGAUGCAAACGAAAUUUCGAUUCGCAAUAAAAUUUUCUGCGAGCGCUAUGUGAACCUUUUGUGGAUAUUGUGGCCGACUUUACUAAAUUCUGCAGCUUUACCGGUCGUUUGUUUUGUUUUGGUGUGUGCGUGUGCACUACGCAGUCGUCGAAAUUAAUUGCUGCGACAGGUAACUAUUAACUUUUAUUGUCGUGCUUACUAGUUAUUGUUAUUGUUGUUGUUGUUGUGGCCACAAGCUGCGCUGAUAAAUUAAGUCGUUUUUGCCGGCGUGCAUUCCUCCUAUUAUAUAAGUACAUAAUACAUGUUUUUGUGCGUGUUUGCGUCAUAAACUUAAACGCUAAAGUGAUUUCCAAUCGUGUAAUUCGUUGAAGUACUAAAAGUUCUUUGUGUGCAUUGCCACUGCCAGUAUGCAGUAGAAGCAGCAAAUGUUUUUGCCGCAACAACAAACACUUCAACCUUAAGUGUCGUGACAGUCAGUUUGCCAUAAAAAAAGCUUGAUGUACUCGCUCGCUGCGGCACCUGCCCGGCAUAGUAACACGUACUAAAUAAGUUCGCAUCCUUUGCGCCCACUUUUGGUCGGUGGUGUAUAGGUACAUAGCCAGUAACGUGCCGGGGCUACACAAAAAUACCCAAGCUGUGGCGCAUUGAGGCUGCGGCGUGCUGCUCUAUUGCUGUACGGCUUGGUCGUCGUAAAAUAUCACCGGUGAACGUGCGCGGAUUAGAAAGCCACCUAAGCAGUUGUGCGGCCGUGCGGUGAGGGUGGCAGCGAGUUGCUUGUGCGCUGCUGCUGACUCUUUUUAUUCGGAUUUAUUCUGAACUGAGCUGCUUGAAUAUUAGAUUUCAUCGGGAAAAGGUAAACUAAACACUUCAUUUUUCAAGAAACGCUCUAGAGGGUCCUACUA